ACUCCUGACUGACCGAUAGUGAACCAGUACCGUGAGGGAAAGGCGAAAAGAACCCCGGCGAGGGGAGUGAAAAAGAACCUGAAACCGUGUACGUACAAGCAGUGGGAGCCCCACCACUAAGCCAGUGGUGAACUCCACAUCCGCAUCCUUUGCUGAGGAUACGGUUAACGGAGCGAAAGCGACGUUCAACCGCAAAACAAGCAGAGGGGGCUUAGUGGUGGGGUGACUGCGUACCUUUUGUAUAAUGGGUCAGCGACUUAUAUUCUGUAGCAAGGUUAACCGAAUAGGGGAGCCGGAGGGAAACCGAGUCUUAAUUGGGCGUUAAGUUGCAGGGUAUAGACCCGAAACCCGGUGAUCUAGCCAUGGGCAGGUUGAAGGUUGGGUAACACUAACUGGAGGACCGAACCGACUAAUGUUGAAAAAUUAGCGGAUGACCUGUGGCUGGGGGUGAAAGGCCAAUCAAACCGGGAGAUAGCUGGUUCUCCCCGAAAGCUAUUUAGGUAGCGCCUCGUGAAUUCAUCUCCGGGGGUAGAGCACUGUUUCGGCUAGGGGGCCAUCCCGGCUUACCAACCCGAUGCAAACUGCGAAUACCGGAGAAUGUUAUCACGGGAGACACACGGCGGGUGCUAACGUCCGUCGUGAAGAGGGAAACAACCCAGACCGCCAGCUAAGGUCCCAAAGUCAUGGUUAAGUGGGAAACGAUGUGGGAAGGCCCAGACAGCCAGGAUGUUGGCUUAGAAGCAGCCAUCAUUUAAAGAAAGCGUAAUAGCUCACUGGUCGAGUCGGCCUGCGCGGAAGAUGUAACGGGGCUAAACCAUGCACCGAAGCUGCGGCAGCGAACGUAUCACCCAAGACAACUUUACGGAGUUGACGAUUGACGGAGCGAAGCGACGUCAAAGCGUUCAUUAAAGUCGAGUUGGCUUAGGGAUACGUUCGUUGGGUAGGGGAGCGUUCUGUAAGCCUGUGAAGGUGUGUCGUGAGGCAUGCUGGAGGUAUCAGAAGUGCGAAUGCUGACAUAAGUAACGAUAAAGCGGGUGAAAAGCCCGCUCGCCGGAAGACCAAGGGUUCCUGUCCAACGUUAAUCGGGGCAGGGUGAGUCGACCCCUAAGGCGAGGCCGAAAGGCGUAGUCGAUGGGAAACGGGUUAAUAUUCCCGUACUUGGUGUUACUGCGAAGGGGGGACGGAGAAGGCUAUGUUGGCCGGGCGACGGUUGUCCCGGUUUAAGCGUGUAGGUGUGUGUUCCAGGUAAAUCCGGUUCACUUUAACACUGAGGCGUGACGACGAGGCACUACGGUGCUGAAGCAACAAAUGCCCUGCUUCCAGGAAAAGCCUCUAAGCAUCAGGUAACAUCAAAUCGUACCCCAAACCGACACAGGUGGUCAGGUAGAGAAUACCAAGGCGCUUGAGAGAACUCGGGUGAAGGAACUAGGCAAAAUGGUGCCGUAACUUCGGGAGAAGGCACGCUGACACGUAGGUGAAGUGAUUUACUCAUGGAGCUGAAGUCAGUCGAAGAUACCAGCUGGCUGCAACUGUUUAUUAAAAACACAGCACUGUGCAAACACGAAAGUGGACGUAUACGGUGUGACGCCUGCCCGGUGCCGGAA
rnacentral:rRNA from 1 species